AUACAACAGACGAGUCCUAAGUGGAACGAAACGCGCGUCCUGGAU
rnacentral:hammerhead_ribozyme from 1 species